UACAUGCGAGCAAAGUACCGUCCCUGAUUAGCCUGCUCAGUCUGCCCCAGGCAUAAUACAUGUGAGCAAAGUACCGUCCCUGAUUUGCCUGCGCAGUCUGCCCCAGGCAUAAUACAUGUGAGUAAAGUACCGUCCCUGAUUAGCCUGCGCAGUCUGCCCCAGGCAUAAUACAUGUGAGCAAAGUACCGUCCCUGAUUAGCCUGUGCAGUCUGCCCCAGGCAUAAUACAUGUGAGUAAAGUACCGCCCCUGAUUAGCCUGCGCAGUCUGCCCCAGGCAUAAUACAUGUGAGUAAAGAACUGUCCCUGAUUAGCCUGCGCAGUCUGCUCCAGGCAUAAUACAUGUGAGUAAAGUACCGCCCCUGAUUAGCCUGCGCAGUCUACCCCAGGCAUAAUACAUGUGAGUAAAGUACCGCCCCUGAUUAGCCUGCGCAGUCUACCCCAGGCAUAAUACAUGUGAGUAAAGUACUGUCCCUGAUUAACCUGCGCAGUCUGCUCCAGCCGUAAUACAUGCGAGUAAAGUACCGUCCCUGAUUAGCCUGUGCAGUCUGCACAAGUAAUCAGUGUUGACACUUUCCGCUUCUAUAGACUUUUUUGUUGAAAAUAAGAAUCUUCUUAACGAAAAUCCA